rnacentral:tRNA from 1 species
GCCGCCGUGGCGGAACAGGCAGACGCAAGGGACUUAAAAUCCCUCGCUGGAAACAGCGUGCGGGUUCGAUCCCCGCCGGCGGCA